rnacentral:rRNA from 1 species
CCUACGUGGGGCAGCAGUGAGGAAUAUUUGUCAAUGGCCGUAAGGCUGAACCAGCCAAGUAGCGUGAGGGCAGACUGCCCUAUGGGUUGUAAACCUCUUUUAUGCGGGGAUAAAGGUGUCCACGUGUGGAUGUUUGCAGGUACCGCAUGAAUAAGGACCGGCUAAUUCCGUCCCAGCAGCCGCGGUAAUAAUGAAGGUCCGGGCUUUAUCCGGAUUUAUUGGGUUUAAAGGGAGCGUAGGCCGGUCUUUAAGCGUGCCGUGAAAUUUUGUGGCUCAACCAUGAGAGUGCGGGGCGAACUGGAGACAUUGAGGGCGCGGAAGGCAGGCGCAAUUCGUGGUGUAGCGGUGAAAUGCUUAGAU